AGUUUGCUAUUUAUAUUCCUUCCCUCUCUUCUCUGCUUUCAAAAAUGGCGGAUAGAAGGGGCAGACAACACAGAGCCUCAACGAUCGCCAUUACCGUCUUCUCCAAGACCUCUCCGCUCCUCCAAGCACUCUUUCGACGACGAUGGUAUUCCCCAAUUCUCAGUGAUAGCCGAUUUCGAUUCUCCAUCACUCGAUACUCCUCUCUUUCUCUCUCCUUACUUCUUUUUUCCAUAAAUAUUUUUGAAAUGCCUUAGAGUAAAUGUUGAUUACUUUACUGUGUAGAAGUAGGAGGAGCGAAGCCAUCGAUUGUCAACGAAGACGAUGAUUCUGAUUCUUUGCUCGGAAACUAUCUGGCAAUCAGAGGGCCUGACUUGGAGCCUUUUGUGGUUGGAUCCCUAAUCCAACUACUUUGUCCUGUUACAAAGUUUGGAUGUCUUGAUGAUGAUAGAUUUAAAGAGGCCAUGAACUUUUUAAGC